rnacentral:rRNA from 1 species
GAUGAACGCUGGCGGCGUGCCUAAUACAUGCAAGUCGAGCGAACGGACGAGAAGCUUGCUUCUCUGAUGUUAGCGGCGGACGGGUGGGUAACGCGUGGAUAACCUACCUAUAAGACUGGGAUAACUUCGGGAAACCGGAGCUAAUACCGGAUAAUAUUUUGAACCGCAUGGUUCAAAAGUGAAAGACGGUCUUGCUGUCACUUAUAGAUGGAUCCGCGCUGCAUUAGCUAGUUGGUAAGGUAACGGCUUACCAAGGCAACGAUGCAUAGCCGACCUGAGAGGGUGAUCGGCCACACUGGAACUGAGACACGGUCCAGACUCCUACGGGAGGCAGCAGUAGGGAAUCUUCCGCAAUGGGCGAAAGCCUGACGGAGCAACGCCGCGUGAGUGAUGAAGGUCUUCGGAUCGUAAAACUCUGUUAUUAGGGAAGAACAUAUGUGUAAGUAACUGUGCACAUCUUGACGGUACCUAAUCAGAAAGCCACGGCUAACUACGUG